UACGUAGGGCGCAAGCGUUGUCCGGAAUUAUUGGGCGUAAAGAGCUCGUAGGUGGCGUGUCGCGUCUGCCGUGAAAGCCCAUGGCUUAACUUCGGGCGUGCAGUCGAUACGGGCUGGCUUGAGUGCGGUAGGGGAGACUGGAAUUCCUGGUGUAGCGGUGAAAUGCGCAGAUAUCAGGAGGAACACCGGUGGCGAAGGCGGGUCUCUGGGCCGAUACUGACGCUGAGGAGCGAAAGCGUGGGGAGCGAACAGG
rnacentral:rRNA from 1 species